AUUGAACGCUGGCGGCAUGCCUUACACAUGCAAGUCGAACGGCAGCACGGGUGCUUGCACCUGGUGGCGAGUGGCGAACGGGUGAGUAAUAUAUCGGAACGUACCUUAUUGUGGGGGAUAACGCAGCGAAAGCUGUGCUAAUACCGCAUAAUCCCUAAGGGGGAAAGCGGGGGACCGUAAGGCCUCGCGCAAUUAGAGCGGCCGAUACCUGAUUAGCUAGUUGGUGAGGUAAAGGCUCACCAAGGCAACGAUCAGUAGCUGGUCUGAGAGGACGAUCAGCCACACGGGGACUGAGACACGGCCCAGACUCCUACGGGAGGCAGCAGUGGGGAAUUUUGGACAAUGGGGGCAACCCUGAUCCAGCAGUGCCGCGUGAGUGAAGAAGGCCUUCGAGUUGUAAAGCUCUUUUGUCAGGGAAGAAACAGCAGCUCUAACACAGUUUGCGAAUGACGGUACCUGAAGAAUAAGCACCGGCUAACUACGUGCCAGCCGCCGCCGUAA
rnacentral:rRNA from 1 species